rnacentral:lncRNA from 1 species
UCAAAAUCUCCAUAGAAACCAGGGCCGGCUGAAGUACUGAAGCCGCACUCAGGCAGCUCGCCUUAGUCUGUAACAAAACAGCAACUGGGGGUUUAAACUGCAGACGUUUCCUCUCUCAUAGUUCUGGAGGCUGGGAGUUGGAGCUCAAGGUGCCAGCAGGGUCGGUUCGGGCAAGUGCCCUCUUCCUGGCUUGCCGGUCCCGGAGGCUGGGGAGGCACACCAGGCAAGCCCCUAACCCUUGCAAGCCAAGGAGACAGUCUUGAAAAAAAACUCCACCUAGCCUUAACAUGGUCUCAAAGAGAUGAAGUGAUUACAUGCUUUUGAUGUAGAUGGUGGUGUCGGGGAGGAGAGCAACAUGAACCUGCGUGUCUCUCCUUGGUCCGCAGCAUGGAUGCAGCCCGCCACCUGUGAACUCUGGCUGAAUGCCGCACGGAGGUGCCAGGGCGCCUCACCAAGGGAAGGGGAGCAAAGACUACUAUUUCUGAGGAGAUUCAAUUCAAGAGGAACAGGCUACAUAGACAUUUGGAAAGGAAAAUGUUUAGCAAGGAUACAAAGGUA